UGUGUGUUUGGGUGAAUUGUUCA
rnacentral:siRNA from 1 species